CCCACAAGCAGGCGCCAAACACAUGCACCAUACACUUUCCUGGCCCUUUUGUCCUCUGGUAUCCCACUUGUGGAGACACCAGAGACAAUUUAAAAGCAAACACAGCACAAGCAUGUUAUUACAUUUGCUUGCGCUGCGCAGAACAAAUACAGGGCCUUUUUCUAAUGCCAGAGCUCUUCAGCGGGGCUCUGGGCAUUGAACCAAC